rnacentral:rRNA from 1 species
AUUGAACGCUGGCGGCAUGCCUUACGCAUGCAAGUCGAACGGUAACAGGUCUUCGGAUGCUGACGAGUGGCGAACGGGUGAGUAAUACAUCGGAACGUGCCUAGUAGUGGGGGAUAACUACUCGAAAGAGUGGCUAAUACCGCAUGAGAUCUACGGAUGAAAGCAGGGGAUCGCAAGACCUUGUGCUACUAGAGCGGCCGAUGGCAGAUUAGGUAGUUGGUGGGAUAAAAGCUUACCAAGCCGACGAUCUGUAGGUGGUCUGAGGGGACGAUCAGCCACACGGGGACUGGGACACGGCCCAGACUCCUACGGGAGGCAGCAGUGGGGAAUUUUAGACAAUGGGCGCAAGCCUGAUCCAGCAAUGCCGCGUGCAGGAUGAAGGCCUUCGGGUUGUAAACUGCUUUUGUACGGAACGAAAAGCCCCGAGUUAAUACCCUGGGGUCAUGACGGUACCGUAAGAAUAAGCACCGGCUAACUACGUGCCAGCCGCCGCCGUAA